GUUUGAGGACCAGAGCCUACUGAAAGACCCCCAAAGUGGAGAGACCCUCACUCAAGUCUUGGGAUGAUGCGACCCCCCAAGAACUCACGUGAGACU
rnacentral:pre_miRNA from 14 species